rnacentral:rRNA from 1 species
UACGUAGGGUGCAAGCGUUACUCGGAAUUACUGGGCGUAAAGCGUGCGCAGGCGGCUUUGCAAGGCAGAUGUGAAAUCCCCGGGCUCAACCUGGGAACUGCAUUUGUGACUGCAAGGCUAGAGUACGGCAGAGGGGGAUGGAAUUCCGCGUGUAGCAGUGAAAUGCGUAGAUAUGCGGAGGAACACCGAUGGCGAAGGCAAUCCCCUGGGCCUGUACUGACGCUCAUGCACGAAAGCGUGGGGAGCAAACAGG